AGUGGAUGGGGAGCAACCUAGUUGUGCGUGUGUAAAGGUAGUGCCAAGAAAAGCGGUGAUCAUGAUGAAAAUCAAUUCCCGGUACCCGAAACCGACACAGGUGGGCAAGUAGAGAAUACUAAGGGGCGCGAGGUAACUCUCUCCAAGGAACUCGGCAAAAUGACCCCGUAACUUAGGGAGAAGGGGUGCCACCGAGAGGUGGUCGCAGUGAAGAGGCCCAGGCGACUGUUUAGCAAAAACAUAGGUCUCUGCAAACUCGAAAGAGGAGGUAUAGGGGCUGACGCCUGCCCAGUGCCGGAAGGUUAAAGAAGUUGGUCAGUCUUAGGAUGAAGCUAGCGACUGAAGCCCCGGUGAACGGCGGCCGUAACUAUAACGGUCCUAAGGUAGCGAAAUUCCUUGUCGGGUAAGUUCCGACCCGCACGAAAGGCGUAACGAUCUGGGCGCUGUCUCGGAGAGAGGCUCGGCGAAAUAGGAUUGUCUGUGAAGAUACGGACUACCUGCAUUUGGACAGAAAGACCCUAUGAAGCUUUACUAUAGCUUGGAAUUGUGUUCGGGCUUCCUGUGCGCAGGAUAGGUGGGAGGCGUAGAAGGUAUUCUUGUGGGGAUACUGGAGCCAACGGUGAGAUACCACUCUCAGGAGGCUAGAAUUCUAACUUAAUUAAGGACAGUUUCAGGUGGGUAGUUUGACUGGGGCGGUCGCCUCCAAAAAGGUAACGGAGGCGUACAAAGGUUCCCUCAGACUGGUUGGAAAUCAGUCGAAGAGUGCAAAGGCAGAAGGGAGCUUGACUGCGAGAAGUACAGUUCGAGCAGGGUGGAAACACGGUCUUAGUGAUCCGACGGUGCUGUGUGGAAGGGCCGUCGCUCAACGGAUAAAAGUUACUCUAGGAUAACAGGCUGAUCUCCCCCAAGAGUUCACAUCGACGGGGAGGUUUGGCACCUCGAUGUCGGCUCAUCGCAACCUGGGGCGGAAGUACGUCCCAAGGGUUGGGCUGUUCGCCCAUUAAAGCGGUACGUGAGCUGGGUUCAGAACGUCGUGAGACAGUUCGGUCCAUAUCCGAUGUAGGCGUGAGAAUAUUGAGAGGAGCCUUCCUUAGUACGAGAGGACCGGGAAGGGCGCACCGCUGGUGUACCUGUUAUGAUGCCAAUUGUAAACGCAGGGUAGCCAAGUGCGGAGAGGAUAACCGCUGAAAGCAUCUAAGUGGGAAGCCCACCUCAAGAUGAGUAUUCUGGUGUAAGGUCACGGGAAGACGACCCGUAAAUAGGCACGAGGUGGAAGUGCAGAGAUGUAUGAAGCCGAAGUGUACUAAUAGACCGUCGGCUUGA
rnacentral:rRNA from 1 species